rnacentral:rRNA from 1 species
UGAGUUUGAUCCUGGCUCAGGACGAACGCUGGCGGCGUGCCUAAUACAUGCAAGUCGAGCGAGCUGAACCAGCAGAUUCACUUCGGUGAUGAUGCUGGGAACGCGAGCGGCGGAUGGGUGAGUAACACGUGGGUAACCUGCCCUAAAGUCUGGGAUACCACUUGGAAACAGGUGCUAAUACCGGAUAACAACAAUAGCUGCAUGGCUAUUGCUUAAAAGGCGGCGUAAGCUGUCGCUAAAGGAUGGACCCGCGGUGCAUUAGCUAGUUGGUAAGGUAACGGCUUACCAAGGCGACGAUGCAUAGCCGAGUUGAGAGACUGAUCGGCCACAUUGGGACUGAGACACGGCCCAAACUCCUACGGGAGGCAGCAGUAGGGAAUCUUCCACAAUGGGCGAAAGCCUGAUGGGGCAACGCCGCGUGAGUGAAGAAGGUUUUCGGAUCGUAAAGCUCUGUUGUUGGUGAAGAAGGAUAGAGGUAGUAACUGGCCCCUAUUUGACGGUAAUCAACCAGAAAGUCACGGCUAACUACGUGCCAGCAGCCGCGGUAAUACGUAGGUGGCAAGCGUUGUCCGGAUUUAUUGGGCGUAAAGCGAGCGCAGGCGGAAAGAUAAGUCUGAUGUGAAAGCCCCCGGCUUAACCGAGGAAUUGCAUCGGAAACUGUGUUUCCUGAGUGCAGAAGAGGAGAGUGGAACUCCAUGUGUAGCGGUGGAACGCGUAGAUAUAUGGAAGAACACCAGUGGCGAAGGCGGCUCUCUGGUCUGUAACUGACGCUGAGGCUCGAAAGCAUGGGUAGCGAACAGGAUUAGAUACCCUGGUAGUCCAUGCCGUAAACGAUGAGUGCUAAGUGUUGGGAGGUUUCCGCCUCUCAGUGCUGCAGCUAACGCAUUAAGCACUCCGCCUGGGGAGUACGACCGCAAGGUUGAAACUCAAAGGAAUUGACGGGGGCCCGCACAAGCGGUGGAGCAUGUGGUUUAAUUCGAAGCAACGCGAAGAACCUUACCAGGUCUUGACAUCUAGUGCCAUCCUAAGAGAUUAGGAGUUCCCUUCGGGGACGCUAAGACAGGUGGUGCAUGGCUGUCGUCAGCUCGUGUCGUGAGAUGUUGGGUUAAGUCCCGCAACGAGCGCAACCC